GACAGUUCUCGGGUGACGCUCCCUGGAAUUGGGCUCCCUCCUCUCUGGUUCCUGGUGCAUCACCCGAGAACCGCA
rfam:Myotis lucifugus cont2.6543, whole genome shotgun sequence.